rnacentral:ncRNA from 1 species
UAGAAAACGAUGAAGAGGUUGAGUAAGUAUUCGCAGUUCCCAGACAGAGAGGGCGGGUCAUCAGGCUGAAAACCGUCCGGGAAGCGAAUUACUGAAUUGCCCCUCUGAGUUUAUCGCUGAACGGUGAUUAGUAGGCGAAAACGGCGGCCGCCGUUAUCGGCAAUGAGUGGAGAUUUUUCUCAAGCAAAGUGGAACCGCGUCUAUGAGGCGUCUUUGUG